rnacentral:miRNA from 1 species
AAACUUAGUCUAUCGGAUCUAG